rnacentral:rRNA from 1 species
GCCUACGGGGGGCAGCCGUGGGGAAUAUUGCACAAUGGGGGAAACCCUGAUGCAGCGACGCCGCGUGAGCGAUGAAGUAUUUCGGUAUGUAAAGCUCUAUCAGCAGGGAAGAAAAUGACGGUACCUGACUAAGAAGCCCCGGCUAACUACGUGCCAGCAGCCGCGGUAAUACGUAGGGGGCAAGCGUUAUCCGGAUUUACUGGGUGUAAAGGGAGCGUAGCCGGCGGCGCAAGUCCGGAGUGAAAGCCCACGGCCCAACCGU